UGCGAGAUCAAUCGAUCGUGCUCGUAGUUUCUCUGGGCCAAAAGUCGACUGGUGAGGUCGCUCGAUCGAAAAUAGUCGACACUCUCCAAAUUCGAUAGGAACCGUGGACGAAGUCGGAGAUUGCUGAUGGAAUAAUAGAAAAUGAAAAGGUGUUUCCAUUAAAAUACCUCGGUGUAAAAUACUAGACAAUUUUAGAAACAACCACCAACGGCAAA
rnacentral:lncRNA from 1 species